UGAUGAGAAGUCUCCGGAAUCGCUGUACCACGUUGAUGAUUCCCUUGAACCCUUGUAUACCUGAUGACUGCRGCUGCAUAGAAGCAGACACUAGUUUGUC
rnacentral:snoRNA from 1 species